GCCAACAGGGACAGCAGCGUCUUGGAGCGGGCUGGACGGGGAGCCCGGCCUGAUUCCCAGCCGUGUGAGAACCCUGGGGGGCCUCCUAUGGAGGUCCCGACUCUCUGACUCCGAGCCUGAUCCGCCCUGCCCGAGGGGAAUAAAACCCUUCUCUCUCUCAAUUUCCCUGCUUGUAAAAUGGGGGGGGGGCUUUAAAAACAGUUAUUCAUAAAUAUCACACAUUUCCCCCCUAAAGCCCCCUUUGUUCCUUGUUUCCCUGGCCCGAGGCACAGCGCCUGACAUAUAAAUGCUCAGUAAAGGUCGUCGAGGACGGUCAUUCCCCCUUUACAGGCAAGGACUCGGGGUCUUCGGCCACAGAGUCACAUCCCCAAGCCCCCACAGCUCAGCGAGAUCUGAAGCCUGGCUGUUCCCCUCCCCUCCCCCCCCCCCCCCGGGCUGGCGGUGAGGGUCACGUCUCUGGAACAGCGGGAUGACUUCCAGGAUCCCCCCCCCCAGGCCUGGCCCUGGGAUCGCCCCAUUUUGCCCCUUUCUCUCAUCCUCAGCUUACCAGAGAAUUUCUAACCGAGCGGCCAUCAGGAGGAGAGAAACGGGGUGACCUCCAAGGAGGCCCGCUCGGGGGCCCCCGUCCUCCUCCUGCAGCCCCAGAGAACACGCAGCUCCCACAGGAUCCCGGGCCUCAGAGCCCGAAGGGACCCAGCGGUCAUCCAGCCAGCUACGGCCAAAUGACCACACGGCUGGCAACCGAAGCGAAUCCUCACACCGCAAACCCAGCCCCCAUCCGCCUAAAUGACGGCUCAACGCUGCCCGGGGCCUUCGAGGCACCACCCGGUGCAGGGAGCCGGGGGCUGGGCCUGGAGUUGGGAAAACCUGAAUUCGAACCUAGCCUUACCAGCUGGGUGAUGGACAAGUCACUUGGCUACUGUCUGCCUCAGUUUCCUUAUCUGUAAAAGGGAUAAAAAUAGCACCCACCUCCCAGGAUUGUUGUAUCAAAUGAGAUACUUAUCACAGUGCUGGCAUACAGUAGGCUCUUAAUAAAUGUUUGUUUCACAUGAGAUAUUUAUAAAGCACUUAUAAUGCCGGCAUAUAGUAGGUGCUUAAUAAAUGUUUGUUUCAUGUGAGAUAUUUAUAAAGCACUUAUAAUGCCGGCAUAUAGUAGGUGCUUAAUAAAUGUUUGUUUCAUGUGAGAUAUUUAUAAAGCACUUAUAAUGCUGGCAUAUAGUAGGUGCUUAAUAAAUGUUUGUUUCAUGUGAGAUAUUUAUAAAGCACUUAUAAUGCCGGCAUAUAGUAGGUGCUUAAUAAAUGUUUGUUUCAUGUGAGAUAUUUAUAAAGCACUUAUAAUGCCGGCAUAUAGUAGGUGCUUAAUAAAUGUUUGUUUCAUGUGAGAUAUUUAUAAAGCACUUAUAAUGCUGGCAUAUAGUAGGUGCUUAAUAAAUGUUUCAUGUGAGAUAUUUAUAAAGCACUUAUAAUGCUGGCAUAUAGUAGGUGCUUAAUAAAUGUUUGUUUCAUGUGAGAUAUUUAUAAAGCACUUAUAAUGCUGGCAUAUAGUAGGUGCUUAAUAAAUGUUUCAAGUGAGAAAAUAUUUGUUGAGCACUUAUCAUAGUGCUGGCAAACAGUAGGUGCUUAAUGUUUGUUUCCUCCUCUCUGCAAUAUGACUCCUGCCCACUUUUAUCACAUCCCCCCAUCCCGUAAGAGGCCGUAGGGUGGACAGGAUGCUGAUUGUGGGGUCAGGUAGAGCCGCAUUCAAAUCCUGCUCCCGCUAACUUAUAGUUGUGUGACCCUAGGUAAGUCACUUGACCACUAAGACCCUGCUUUCCCCCUUGUAAAGUGAAGGCACUGGACUUGAGGGUCCCAGAGUUCUUUCUUGGUCUAAAUCUACGCUCCUCUGAACAAAUCCCUGGUUCCGUCACUCAGUAUCUCUGUGCCUCGAUUUCCUUAUCUGUAAAAGGAGGGUCCUGCCGUGGGGGUCCCUGUCUUCAGUGGCUCUUGCUCAGAACCACAGUGACCGCCCAGCAGGGAAACGCCAUCUCCAAGGAGGUGGCCGCCCCCUCCUCCCCCCGACCAUCACUGCAGGAGGUGGGGGGCUUGUCCCAGGUCUCGCCCAAACCCGCCUGCCCCACCACACACAGUGGGGGCUGAAGGAGGAACGGGUGGAUGGAAGGAGGGAGAGGGGCUAGCUGGAGUCCCUUCUGGCACCUGAUGGACACUCUCUCACUCGGUCCCCGACAACCCCGAGAGCUCCCACAAUAACCCAUCAUCCCCACAUGAGCAAACUGAGGCAGACGGAGGCCGAGUGACCCUCGGGGGAGCCAGGGUCCGAGGGCCGGCCUCAGGCUGCAUCAGGACCCCCGACCUCCUCCACGCGCUCAUCGCUGCCUGGAGCUCGGGAACGCAUUCUCUGGGCAUGGUUACCGGGCCGGUUCUUGGUGCUGGGGACCAGACCCAGAAUCCAGCGGGCGGGGGCCGGGCGAGGCUAAGCCGAGGGGAGAAGGAGGGCUCCGGGGGUCGUGGGCUGGGCGGAUUGGCCGGGAUCUCUGCCCCGGCCCCCCCAGCGCCGGCUGCCGGAGCGGAGGGGCGCCUCCUUUGUCCCGGGCUCCCCGCAGACCGAGGGCCGCAGAGGCGGGCGGGGAGCAGCCCUCCCCACCGCCCGUCCCCCCAGCCCGAGGUCUCCUU